GGGGGGAUAUGAGGACGGGGGGGUAUGGGGGUGAUAUGGGGACAUGGGGGGAUAUGGGGGGGAUGGGGGGGAAUUUGGGGACGGGGGAUAUGGAAAUGGGGGGACGGGGAGGGAUAUGGGGGGUAUGGGGACAUGGAGAUGGGGGGACAUGGGGGGAUAUGGGAACAUGGGGGGAUACGGGGAUAUGGGGGGAUAUGGGAAUACUGGGGGGGGAUAUGUGGACAUGGGUUAUGGGGACAUGGGGGCACGGGGGGAUAUGGGGAGACAUGGCGGAUAUGGGGGGGAUAUGGGAACAUGGAGGGAUAUGGGGGGAUAUGGGGGACAUGAGGGGGAUAUGGGGUAUAUAGGAACAGGGGGGAUAUGGGGACAGGGGGAGAUUUUGGGGGAUAUGGGGACAGGGGGGAUAUGGGAAUAUGGGAGACAUGGGGGGGAUAUGGGAAUACAGCGGGGAUAUGGGGACGGGGGGAUAUGGGGACAUGUGGGAGAUAUGGAGGGAUAUGGGGGGAUAUGGGGUAUAUAGGAACGGGGGGGAUAUGGGGAUGGGGGGGAUGGGGGGGAUAUGGGAAUAUGGGGGAGAUAUGGGGGGAUAUAUGGACAUGGGUUAUGGGGACAUGGGGGCACAGGGGGGGAUAUGGGCGAACAUGGGGGGAUAUGGGAGUAUGGGGGGGAUAUGGGGUAUAUAGGAACGAGGGGGAUAUGGGGGGGCGGGGGGGAAUAUGGGGACAUGGGGGGAUAUGGGAAUACAGGGGGGAUAUGGGGACAUGGGGGGGAUAUGGGCACGUGGGGGGGAUAUCGGGACGUGGGGGGAUAUGGGGACGUGGGGGAGAUAUGGGGGGAUAUAUGGACAUGGGGGGAUAUGGGGAGACAGGGAAAGGUCUGUGAUUCUAUAGGGCCCUAUGGCCACAAUGAGGUUCUAUGGGGCUCCAUGGGGCUCCAUGGGGCUCUAUGGGGCUCCAUAGGUCUCUAUGGGGCUCUAUGGGGCUCUAUGGGGUUCAGUGGAAAUCUACGGGCACAAUGGGGCUCUGUGGGGUUCUGUGGGGCUCCACUGGUCUCUAUGGGGCUCUAUGGGGUUCUGUGGGGCUCCACUGGUCUCUAUGGGGCUCUAUGGGGUUCUGUGGGGCUCCACUGGGCUCUAUGGGGCUCCAUUGGGCUCUGUGGGGUUCUAUGGGGCUGCAUUGGCCUCUAUGGGACCCUAUGGGGCUCUAUGGAGUUCUAUGGGGCUCCAUUGGCCUCUAUGGGGCUGUAUGUGGUUCUAUGGGGCUCCAUUGGACUCUGUGGGGCUCUAUGGGGUUUUAUGGGGCUCUAUUGGGCUCCAUUGGUCUCUAUGGGGCUCCACUGGGCUCUAUAGGGCUCCAUUGGGCUCUGUGGGGUUCUAUGGGGCUGCAUUGGCCUCUAUGGGACCCUAUGGGUUCUAUGGGGCUCCCUAUGGGGUUCUAUGGGGUUCUAUGGGGCUCUAUGGGUCUCCAUUGGGCUCUAUGGGUCUCCAUUGGGCUCUAUGGGGUUCUAUGCGACUCCAUUGUGCACUAUGGGGCUCCAUUGGGCUCUAUGGGGCUCCAUUGGGCUCUAUGGGGUUCUAUGGGGCUCCAUCCCUAUAUCCAUCCCCACCCCCUAUGGGAUAUUAUGGGAUGGGAGGAUAUUAUGGGAUGAGGGGAUAUUAUGGGAUGCGGACGCACAGACAGCGCUGUGGGACCUCCGGGACCGCAGUGUUUAUUAUGGGAUGUCGGAGGCGCUGCGCACUGUGAGCUGUGCGGGAAUGUGGGGCACUGUGUGGGAUUCGGGGGCGCCCCAUUGGCUUUGGGGUCCCAGUGUGGGGUCGUUAUGGGGCAGAAGUGGGGUCAGUAUGGGGCAGCAAUGGGGUCAGUAUGGGGCAGCUAUGGGGUCAGUAUGGGGUCAGUAUGGGGCAGCUAUGGGGUCAGUAUGGGGUCACUAUGGGGUCAGUAUGGGAUCGCUAUGGGGCGGCAGUGGGGCCACUAUGGGACAGCAAUGGGGUCAGUAUGGGGUCGCUAUGGGGCAGCUAUGGGGUCAGUAUGGGGUCAGUAUGGGGCCGCUAUGGGGCUCCUAUGGGGCAGCUAUGGGGUCAGUAUGGGGUCAGUAUGGGGCCGCUAUGGGGCUGCUAUGGGGCAGCUAUGGGGUCAGUAUGGGGUCAGCAUGGGGCCGCGAUGGGGCUGCUAUGGGGUCAGUAUGGGGUCGCUAAUGGGCAGCUAUGGGGUCAGUAUGGGGUCAGUAUGGGGUCAGUAUGGGGUUGCUAAUGGGCAGCUAUGGGAUCAGUAAGGGGUCAGUAUGGGGUCAGUAUGGGGUCAGUAUGGGGUCGCUAUGGGGCGCUGUGGGUCGGUCAGGAGAACUCGUGGACGAAGGCGGUGUAGAACUGAGAGAUGGUGGCCACCAUCCGCUGCAGCGCCUCCAUGGGGGGCAGAAUGGUCAUCCUGCGGCAUCAGCGGGUAUGAAUGGGGGGUGUGGGGGGUGCGUGGGGCAGUGGGG
ensembl:lncRNA